AAAGAUUAAGCCAUGCAUGUCUAAGUACAAGCCGAAGGAAGGCGAAACCGCGAAUGGCUCAUUAAAUCAGUUAUGGUUCCUUAGAGCGUUGUUUGUUACUUGGAUAACUGUGGUAAUUCUAGAGCUAAUACAUGCACUCUCACCGACCUCUACGGAGGGACGUGUGCUUUUAUUAGAUCAAGAUCAAUCGGGCCUCGGUCCGCAAUUUGUGGCGACUCUGGAUAACUUUGUGCUGAUCGCUAAGGUCUUUGCACCGGCGACAAUUCUUUCAAGUGUCUGCCUUAUCAACUGUCGAUGGUAGGUUAUGCGCCUACCAUGGUUGUAACGGGUAACGGAGAAUCAGGGUUCGAUUCCGGAGAGGGAGCCUGAGAAACGGCUACCACAUCCAAGGAAGGCAGCAGGCGCGCAAAUUACCCACUCCCGGCACGGGGANGUAGUGACGAAAAAUAACAAUACGGGACUCUAUUGAGGCCCCGUAAUUGGAAUGAGUACACUCUAAAUCCUUUAACGAGGAUCUAUUGGAGGGCAAGUCUGGUGCCAGCAGCCGCGGUAACUCCAGCUCCAAUAGCGUAUAUUAAAGUUGUUGCGGUUAAAAAGCUCGUAGUUGGAUCUCAGUCGCAGACGGGAAGUCCAUCUAUCCGGUGUGACGGCCCGGACUGGACAGGAUGCCGGCUGUCCCUUGGUCCUCUUCAUUGGGUGCCUUGGGGUGGCCUGUGCGUUUACUUUGAAAAAAUUAGAGUGCUUAAAGCAGGCGUGGCGCCUGAAUAACAGUGCAUGGAAUAAUGGAAUAGGAACUCUUGCCUAUUGUGUUGGUUUCUGGAUAAGAGUUAAUGAUUGAGAGGGACAGACGGGGGCAUUCGUAUUGCAGCGCUAGAGGUGAAAUUCUUGGACCGUUGCAAGACGAACUACUGCGAAAGCAUUUGCCAAGAAUGUUUUCAUUGAUCAAGAACGAAAGUUAGAGGUUCGAAGGCGAUCAGAUACCGCCCUAGUUCUAACCAUAAACGAUGCCAACCAGCGAUCCGCCUGAGUUCCUCAAAUGACUCGGCGGGCAGCUUCCGGGAAACCAAAGUAUUUGGGUUCCGGGGGAAGUAUGGUUGCAAAGCUGAAACUUAAAGGAAUUGACGGAAGGGCACCACCAGGAGUGGAGCCUGCGGCUUAAUUUGACUCAACACGGGAAAACUUACCCGGCCCGGACACCGGAAGGAUUGACAGAUUGAGAGCUCUUUCUUGAUUCGGUGGAUGGUGGUGCAUGGCCGUUCUUAGUUGGUGGAGCGAUUUGUCUGGUUAAUUCCGAUAACGAACGAGACUCUAGCCUAUUAAAUAGACGUGUGGUCUCUUGUGCCAUGCGGUCUUCUUAGAGGGACAAGCGGCUCCUAGCCGCACGAAACAGAGCAAUAACAGGUCUGUGAUGCCCUUAGAUGUCCGGGGCCGCACGCGCGCUACACUGAAGGAAGCAGCGUGUGACUAUCCCUGUUCANAUGAACUGGGUAACCCGAUCAACCUCCUUCGUGAUUGGAAUAGGGGCUUGAAAUUGUUCCCCUUGAACGAGGAAUUCCCAGUAAGCGCGAGUCAUAAGCUCGCGUUGAUUACGUCCCUGCCCUUUGUACACACCGCCCGUCGCUACUACCGAUUGAAUGAUUUAGUGAGGUCUUCGGACUGAAACCCGAGGCGGCCUAUGGUUGCGCCGGAAUGUCAAAAANAUGACCAAACUUGAUUAUUUAGAGGAAGUAAAAGUCGUAACAAGGUU
rnacentral:rRNA from 1 species